rnacentral:rRNA from 1 species
GAUGAACGCUAGCGGCAGGCCUAAUACAUGCAAGACGAACGGUAAGUUGAGUAGCAAUACUUAGCCAAGAGUGUCGUACGGGUGCGUAACACGUAUGCAACCUACCCUAUACAGGAGGAUAGCCUAGGGAAACCUGGAUUAACCCUUCAUAGUAUUAUUGGAUGGCAUCAUUUGAUAAUUAAAACUGAGGUGGUAUAGGAUGGGCAUGCGUCUGAUUAGUUAGUUGGCGGGUAAUGGCCCACCAAGACGAUGAUCAGUAGGGGUUCUGAGAGGAAGAUCCCCCACACUGGCACUGAGAUACGGGCCAGACUCCUACGGGAGGCAGCAGUAGGGAAUAUUGGUCAAUGGAUGCAAGUCUGAACCAGCCAAUGCCGCGUGCAGGAAGAAGGCCCUUUCUGGGGUUGUAAACUGCUUUUGCCAGGGGAUAAAAUUUCCAUGCGUGGAAAACUGAAGGUACCUGGUGAAUAAGCCACGGCUAACUACGUGCCAGCAGCCGCGGU